UAAUGUUUUAUUCAAAGUGAGACAGCUCAGCUCACAUUUCACAAUUCAUUCUGGCCCUAAGGACACAGCUGUAAACCUGCUGCACACUCAGAUAUUUUUCAAAUAAUAUGCAAACACAUUUCUUUGUGGUGAUCAACUCCAGGACACUAACAAACAAACACUAAACCUACAGGAAAGCAAAACCUUUAUUAUAGAAAAUGUCUAUAUGUAAUAUUAAUAUGAAAUAGUCCCCAAAAAGAAACCAAAAUUAUAUAAAAAACUCAUAAAAAGAAAUUCAGACUUACAGGUUUUUCACAAAACUACUACUUUUGACAAAACAACGUCAGUACAAAAAGAUUAAAUUUUCUUAAAACAGCAUAUCAUUUCGCACACAUCAACAGGAGAGCCACUCCAAGGUAAGACACCCUUCACAGUCAGCAGUCAUUUGUUUGUGUUAAUAUAUGCCAUAUACAGUACUUUGACUUAUUUUAGGUUUACAUAAGUGUGAAAUAGGUGUGAAAUAAAAAUCAUGAAAUCAUAAUAAACAGUUCGAAGUCAAGGUACUAGAACACAGUGGUUGAAAUAGAAAGAUGUAAAAACCUCAAUAACAGGCAUAAUUUAAAUCAGUUAUAUUACCAAAUAUUAGAUUUUAAGUCUGGUAUUUCUGGAUUGUGAUUAAUAAUUUUCUAUUAAAACUAAAAUGUAUGUACAUUUGGUUUUUAAAAUCUACAACCCAGAUUGGUUAAUCCUGCAAAAUGGGUCACACUUAGAUUUUGAAUUGUAUUUAGAAAUCUGUAACAUUAAAACUGUUUAUCUUCAUUUUUCUUUUUUUAAAAUCUUCUUUUAAUGUAUGUUUAUAGUUUGCAGUUAUGUGCAGCACUUUGUUUCAGCUGUGGUUGUUUUAAAUGCUUCAUAAAUAAAGUUGCUAUCAUACAUUCAGGAUAGUAAGAUGUUACUCAUCAUAUCUAUGGACAAUUUUAUAUAAAAACAUAAAAAAUGAACAAAUUAGAAGAAAUAACCCCCACCGAAGCUCUUGUAAGCAUAAAUUAUCAAGAAAAUACACAAAUACAUGAUAAAGUAUUACAAUAGACAAGAAAUUAAUAUCUGUAGUUCAAAUAUAAAACAUAAUUUUAGUGUACAAGUGUCAUCACCAGUGCAUGCUAUCUUAUGUUUGUCCGAAGGAGAUUGUUGUCUCAUGCAAAAAUCAACAGGUACUUCCUAGACAUUCCUGCACCUCCUGCAGAGUUGCUAUUGUCCUCCGGAUUGCCUCUCUGACAAGUUUCUGUCUAGUUAUUUUAUGUUUUGGAGAAACAUUAUAUUUUUUAAAUGUCACGUUUGUUGCAUAUUUUUUGCCAAUCACUGAAUGCUAUCUUUACUGUGCAUUAAGCCAUGGGUUUGUCAUGUAUCUUUCUCCUGACUUACAACUCUUAAUAACUGGAUCCUGGUGAUUUUGUUGCAAACUAUGCCUGAGCUAAAGGAUGUCCUCAAAAUCCUCCAAGGACAGUUGGACGCAUUGAAAUAAAGAUCUCUUUCAUCAUCUCAAGAUGGCGCUCAUCUUUCACCAGAAACAAGAAAAUGUAGCAACAGCACUCUUCUAGCCUCCUGUCUGCUUCAGGGUUGAUUUUCAGACUUUUUUGGUGCUUUUAAGACAAUUAAAGGAAUAGUUUCAAUGCAUUAGCAGUCACAAUUUUAUCUGCAAUUAACAAUUUUCUAAACAGCCUUGGACUGCAUUAACCCAUUUAAUCCCACCGGUUACAAUAGUGACUGUAAAACAAAUGUUUAAUUUCUAAGGCUAUAAAAAUGAUACUGAAGGAUCUGUCAAUACAUUUCCAGGACAUAUUGAAAUAAUAAAGGGUCUCAAUGAAAAAUGUGCAGUGUCGCAUGUUUACUGUAAAUUGUCACAUGACCAGAGCUGUUUACUUCCUGUUUGUGCCAAGAGAAAAGGAUGGCUGCAAGAAAGCUCCUAAAGAAAAGCACCGUUUCCGAGUCUUGAGAGAGCUGGAGAGGACAAUGUGGGGGAAUCCAACUGCCCAUUUAUCACAGGGCCAGUACUGCAGUCCAGGCAGUGAAUAGGGCAUUUCGUUGCUGGCAUCCAGCCCUGUAGGCUGUGAGUAAAGAUGAGUCUGAUGUUUUCAAGAAGAAAGCAAAGCCAGUGGAAGGAGGUCUUACCAGAUCCCGUGAAGGUAGCAGAAGUUUAACCGCUGCCAGAGACUGCAGCACAAACGGUCGCUAAUCCAGCAGGAGAUGGCAAGCACCCACAGAGCCACCGACAGCUUGGCGAGGCGUAAAGCCUUCUGCUAAGGUGUACAGAAGGUGGAGGCCAAAACAGUUCAAGGCGUAGGCGUUUGCUGCAGGUUUGACAAACGAUGACGCAGUGGUGAUGACGGUAAUCAAAAGGACGAGGCGGGAAAAUGUAGACCUGUGGUUGGGGAAUUGUCGGAGAAGCAUUAAGCAAACAUUUAGGAAGAUUUUGAUUCAAAAUCACAUGAUGCUCAGCAAGAAACAAAUGCAAAGCUUUAACAAAGAAGGAAGAAAGACAUAUCAGCAUAAAAUUCUAUCCUGUGCUUUAUUCUUUAACAUCUCCAACAUAAGAGGCUGUAUUGCUUUAAAAACUGGAAGAAUCAUUGGAUUGAUUAAUGUAUUCAUAAAAAAUGUUGUCUUUUGAGGUUAAAUAUUUACAUGGACUCUAGUGCUGUUUUUGCAGUGCUUUUGUGUCACAAUUAGGCGAAUACUGCAGCAAUGAGUCUCUGCUACAGUGGUGUCCAAAGCUUUGGCACCUUGAACCAAAAUCAGCAAGUGCAAAGUACUCAGUGGCUAUAAUUUCUUUUUUUUUCCAAUUAAAAACUGCAAAAUUAUUUUUCUGUGAAUUUCUUUUGGCAAUAAAUUUAACAUGCAAUAUUUUAAUUAGACAAAGUAGUCUAAGCUUUGUAGAAAACAAAUUAUUGUAGGUGUGAAAAAGGGUCAUAUAUAUUUGUAUUAAGAUGUAUUAAGAAAUGCAAUUUUGGGUUGAAUGUUUUCUAUUUUGUUGUUCAAGAAAAUGUUUUUAGUCCACUGCCAGCAAGAAAAACUUUCAUUGAAAACCCUUUCUGUAUUUAGCCUAGUUUAAUGAAUGUGUGCACCAAAGUCUCUCUGCCAAAUUGUUACCUUUCUUGAACUGUGAUUGGGGGCCACACAUAAUUAUUCCAAGGGCCACACUUUGGACACACCUGCUCUAGAAUAAAUCCAGGUGUGUGGCUGCCUCCUCAGCCAGCACAGGUUAGGUUUCAUGGUGUGCAGAAAAGAAUCCAUUAUUCCUUCUUUAAAGGGUUAUUAACGUGUCUCUGUGUGUCUUGAUAUAAAAGUGAAAAAUACCAGAAGACCUUGCGCUAACUUGUUGUAGGGUAGGGCAAUGAUUUGUCACCUGGUUCGCAGGUACAAAACUAAACUUACCUGUCUUUAAUGAAAGAGGGAAAUAGUUUACGAGGGAACCAAACUGCAUAUCCGACAGCCAACACCCACAAAAUGGAGAGCUCAUCCAACAUCUGGCCAACGAAGCUAAGAGUCAUGUGGAAGUACGCUGAGAAAACUCCUGCAGAUUACAGAAUAACAGACUCUAUUAUGGGAAAAUACCUAACAAAAAAUGUUGCAAGAUGAACAUAUUAGAAUUAAUGCUGUGGAUUGGUGUGGUUUCUACAUCUCAAAGAGUUACAGGUUGGCUUUUACAUCUAUAUUGAUAACAAUAAAUUAGAGAAGAUGGCUACAACACAUGCAAAUAUAAGACUACACUUGGGUAGGAGGGGAAAUUUGACCCAUGUACAAUCUUAAAAUGGGUCCCAUACCAACUAUAUUAUCUUUGGUUUUCAAAAACUUUAUUCAAAUUAAACUCUUGUAGAUACACAUAAACAUUUUAAUAAUUACCCCAACAAUCUGAAAACUGCUGUAGUAAAAAACGAACAAAGUCUAUGAUACUUUCUUCAAUAUUUAACUUUUAUAUGGUUUUUAGUAUAUAUUUGAUAGUUUUACUAUCCAUGCAGCUCUCCAGCAAUAUUAGCAAACUUGUUCAUAUGUGUAAAAAAAUAUUUGAGGGUUUGUUAAAUGUUUUAAAUCUUAAAUGACAUUAAAUGACAUCUGACUCUGAAUGUUUGAGAAAAUUUGAAUACAUUUAUUUUGUGGAAAAAAAGAUCCCCCAAAUGAUUUAAUGUUGUUUACAUUGGCACCACAAUUAUAGGUCAUGCAAAGUAAUUCUUGUAAAGCAAAUAAACUGAAGCAUUUUGUCUUUUUUAAACUGAAGAGUAGAGCCAAGAUGUGAUUCCUCUUCGCCACUCUUCAGAAAGUGGAAAGACAAGAGUGCAUAACAUUAAAGUAAAGCAGAUGUGUGUUAAUGUUUGUAAGACAGCAGAUGACUGCAAGAAACGAGUUACUCACCAAAACUCGCUCGUAUCAACAGUCAUAGCAACAAAAAAUGGUUUAGACAAGUCUAACUGUAACAAAAAAAGCUGGAAGAAGAUCCAAGUUUAUACUAUCACCUUGCAUAAUGAGUAGGAGGGUGAGGGAGGUGAAAGAAAUCUCCAUCUGGCAUCUUAGGAUCAACAAGUUUCCAUAACAGCUGGUAGACCCUAUCUACAACAAAUUGUCUGGAAACUGCCAGGAAAAAAAAGCAAUUUCUGUUCUACCAUCACAAAUGUGAACAAGCAGAUGUUUUAAAACGCUGCAAGGACUUUAACUGAACCAUGUGCUUUGGUACAAUUGGGCUAAAACCAUGCUUUACAACAACAAAAACUGUAUUUUUGUUUGGCGUGAAACAAAUAAAUAAUAUCAAUAAUAUGAAUAAAAGCACUUAAUGGUCGGAACACCAUCUGGACCCGGAACAUCUCGGCUCCAGGUGAGGAAGGCUCAACAGAGGCUCUUCUUCCUUAGGAAGUUAAAAAGGUCCUCUAGAAUACUCGAGAACUUUUACAGAGCCACAAUAGAGAGCUCCCUGUGUCUAAGUGCAACAGUGUAGUACAGGAGCUGCACGGCACAGGAAGGAAAGGACUGGACCUUCAUGAUUAAAACAGCACAGGAGAUUGUGGGACGUCCUCUCCCUGAUCUGGACCCCAUCCACACCAGACGAGCUCAGAAGAAAGCCAGGAACAUCACUGCUGAACCCUCCCACCCUGCCCACAGCCUGUUUGUACGGCUGCCUUCAGGAAAGCGGUACAGAACCAUCAGAACACGGACUAACAGACUGAAAGACAACUUCUUCCAUAAAGCUGCCAAAGCCAUCACUCCCUUUUAGAGUUUCAUACUCUAAUACAAUCCAACACCAAAGCAGGUCAUUGUAUUAUGCCUGCACCUUAGACUCUGCAUAAUGUUGCAUUGUCAAUCACAUACUGGACUCUGUAUUAUAUACUAUCCUGCUGGUUACUGCACUACUUUAUACACUACCUAAUACUGUGGCCUGCUAGUCAUUGCUAUGCAUAUUAUAUUUUGCUUUAUUGCACUACUUACAGCACUUUAUUGCUCAUCAAGGCAAUUACAUUUUAUCUUAUGUUUUUGUAACAUUGUGUUGUGUUGUUUUACUUUUAUGCUGUGGAAGCUUUGAUCUCCCAAAUGAAAUUUCACCAUUUCCCUCCAGCACAGCCCAUUGCUGUGGUGGAGGGUAUGUAAUGCUUUGGCCCUGUUUCUUUUAAAAGCCACUGGGAACCAAGUUAGAGUGUGUGGCACCAUGGAUUCUGGCAAUAUGUUCAAAACUUUGGAUUUUGUGCCCCCAUUGGAAUAAAUUCAAUCAAAGUCAUGUAGUGUGACAUAAUGCGACUGCAAGAAAAAAUAAAUUAUAUUUAAGAUCUUU